ACGAGUUUGAUCAUGGCUCAGAGCGAACGCUAGCGGCGGGCUUAACACAUGCAAGUCGAACGGAGAGCUUCGGCUCUCAGCGGCGAACGGGUGAGUAACACGUAGGUCACGUACCCUUUGAUGGGGAAUAACCUAGGGAAACCUGGGCUAAUACCGCAUAUGUCCUUCGGGAUGAAAGCCUUCGGGCGUCAGAGGAUCGGCCUGCGGCCCAUUAUUUAAUCCUAGUCGGUAGGGUAACGGCUCACCAAGGCGAAGACGGGUAGCUGGUCUGAGAGGAUGAUCAGCCACACUGGAACUGAGACACGGUCCAGACUCCUACGGGAGGCAGCAGUGGGGAAUAUUGCGCAAUGGGCGAAAGCCUGACGCAGCCACGCCGCGUGAGCGAUGAAGGCCUUCGGGUCGUAAAGCUCUGUGGGGAGAGAAGAAUAAAGCCUGUGAAGAGCAGGCCUUGACGGUAUCUCCUUAGCAAGCACCGGCUAACUCCGUG
rnacentral:rRNA from 1 species